GGACCCGCACAAGCGGUGGAUGAUGUGGAUCAAUUCGAUGCAACGCGAAGAACCUUACCUACCCUUGACAUGUACGGAAGCCUGCUGAGAGGCGGGUGUGCCCGAAAGGGAGCCGUAACACAGGUGCUGCAUGGCUGUCGUCAGCUCGUGUCGUGAGAUGUUGGGUUAAGUCCCGCAACGAGCGCAACCCUUGUCACUAGUUGCUACGCAAGGGCACUCUAGUGAGACUGCCGGUGACAAACCGGAGGAAGGUGGGGAUGACGUCAAGUCCUCAUGGCCCUUAUGGGUAGGGCUUCACACGUCAUACAAUGGCGCAUACAAAGGGCUGCCAACCCGCGAGGGGGAGCCAAUCCCAGAAAGUGCGUCGUAGUCCGGAUUGCAGUCUGCAACUCGACUGCAUGAAGUCGGAAUCGCUAGUAAUCGCGGAUCAGCAAUGUCGCGGUGAAUACGUUCCCGGGUCUU
rnacentral:rRNA from 1 species